AAACGGUGCGACAACCUGACAGGGCACACGAAGGAAAAAGCUUCUGAUGAGCAAUCUGCGCCAGAACGUAGUGGAACCUUCCUGCCACGUCUGGAGUCCCUAGUAAUAUAUAGCUGUGAAUCUUUGGUACAGCUCCCAAACAUAUCGGCACCUCUCAAGACGUUACAUAUUUGGGACUGCAAGAGUCUCAAGUCCAUGGCGGCAUUCGGUCAUGAGGAUGAAUCCACAGCUAAGCUGUCAUCAUCAUCAGCCAGCAGUAAUCAUUGCUUCUUUCCAUGCCUAGAAUCUCUAGAAAUAGAAAGGUGUCGUGGGUUGACUAAGGUUGCCAGCCUUCCUCCGUCCAUCAAGACCUUGAAGAUUUCGGUUUGUGGCAGUCUUGUAUCCUUGCCAGGAGAGGCCCCGCCAUCGCUGGAAGAACUUAGAAUUUAUGAGUGCCCAUGCCUGGAAUCCUUACCGAGUGGACCUCAUCAAGUAUACUCAUCUCUCAGAGUUCUUUGUAUUCUAAACUGUCCUCGUAUAAAGCAUCUUCCACCGAGCCCACCUACAGCAACGUCUGAACCACCACCUUCAAGAGCAAGUGGAGCUUGAUUCCAAACAAGAGUCCAUGUCCGAUGGAGCAUCUACAGCUGUAGUAGUGAAGCAGCCAUCAUCAACCGGCAGUAAUCAUUGCUUCUUUCCAUGCCUAGAAUCUCUAGAAAUAUAUUGGUGCGGUGGCUUGAUAGAGGUUGCCAACCUUCCUCCGUCCAUCAAGACCUUGCAGAUUUCGAAUUGUCAGAGUCUUGUUUCCCUGUCAGGAGAGGUCCCGUCACUAGAAAAACUCGAUGUUUCGUCAUGCCAAAGCCUGGAAUCCUUACCGACUGGGCCUGCUCAUCAAGCAUACUCAUCUCUUCGAUUUCUUCGUAUUAGAAGCUGUACUUGUAUGAAGCAGCUUCCACCGAGCCUACAGCAACGUCUGGAUCACUUGGAGAAGAAAUAUCUAGACCUCCAUCUUCUUCGAGGGCCUGCACAGCCAGUACCUACUGGUGGGAGAACUGCAACAUUAAUGAGUAAGCUGGCGUGCUUCAGAUCGAGUCAGGACUAGAUGAAAGUUGCAACCAAAGUAUCGUUGCCAGCCUCUGCAAAUGAUUGGUCGUUCUUGCAGCACCCUUUCUGAAGCUAAUUAAUCUCCAGUGAAGUCGUCUAAUCCAAGAAUGUAUUGCAUAACCUUUCUUAGUGAGCGAGUAAAGUCGUCUGAUAAAAGGAUGUAUUCUCCAAUAAAGCUAAUCUUCCAAUAAUAAAGUGCCCAUAGGUGAGAGGGCUACUGCAAUGAAGGAGCUGAUCGCAGGCCCUGAGUUUGAGCAGAGAGCAAGCUAAGUCUUAUAGGCUGCAAGCUGAAGAAUUUAUUUAGCAGACAGAGCUCCAGGCUAGCUGAUCUCCACCAUUUCUUGGACCUUCUGUUUUCUUGUAUUUCCCAGAGUUUCAGCAUAAGUUAGCACACAGAGCUCCAGGCUAGCUCUCCAUUUCUUGGUCCUAUUGUUUUCCUUUUGAAAUGUAUUGCAUAAUUUCUGAAUAAGAUAGCAGUCCCAACCAUGAUGUAUUAUUUUCCCACAUUGACUGCAGGGAGAGGAUAACUACCAUACAUCAACAGCAUAUAUAUACUCUAAUAUAUAAGUUGUUACCAUAGAACA